rnacentral:rRNA from 1 species
UACGUAGGUGGCAAGCGUUGUCCGGAUUUAUUGGGUUUAAAGGGUGCGUAGGCGGUCCAUUAAGUCAGCAGUGAAAUACGGCAGCUUAACUGUCGAGGUGCUGUUGAUACUGGUGGACUUGAGUACUGAUGAGGUAGGCGGAAUGGACGGUGUAGCGGUGAAAUGCUUAGAGAUCGUCCAGAACACCGAUAGCGAAGGCAGCUUACUAAAGAGUAACUGACGCUGAGGCACGAAAGUGGGGGGAUCAAACAGG